CUUCAAUUUUUUCAUUCAGGAAGAGGAAACACUUGUUCAGAGGGAGGAAGGGACUGUUCACGUACGUCUAGCCAGUAAAGACGACGACAAGAGAAACAAAGCAAAUAAAGAGAAAAGAAACCAGCAGCUUCACAGCCCACCAGGGGGCCCACACACUGUUAUUUGCAGACUACAUGAAAGGCUGGUGGUGAAAUGUGAGUCUAUUCAGUGACAGACAGAAGCUGAGCAGUUCAGCAGCUCAGCCUCACUCUGCAGAAGCAGCGUGCCGAGCUGAUGAUGUUAAGAGGGAAGUAGUGAAGGUGAUGAUGUCGCUCUGCUGUCAGUCAUCAUCCCGACAACAUGAAGACUGCAUCUGCUCCUCUGUUUCAUCUGAGAGCAGUCUGUGAUUGGAGCCAGGAAGAGAUAUUAUUGGCUUAUAAUGAAUAUCACAAGUUUAUUUUAUUUUAGAGCUUCCAGACCUUCUGCAGUUUAUUCUGGAGUAAUGCAUUAGUAACGUCCACCAUGUAAUCUGGACUGUCAUAAUAAAUUGAGGCCUCAUGCCCAGUUAGUGACUGUAACAUGAAGUCAGAUGACCUCUUUUCAUCAAACACGCAGGGUCAGGAAACCACAGCUGCUGGCUGCAUGUGCCACAGAUUCUUCUGCCUGUUUUGUAGUCUUCACUUCCUCUAUUAGAAGCACAUUUUCCACAGUGAGUCAAACCAAAGAAAUGGAGACUGUUUUUGGUAAAAUCAGGUUUCUUUUUGCAUGUUUGGUUAUUUUUCUGGUGCUGAGUUCUAAAGAGCAGCAGAGUGCAAUUUAGCCCUAAACUUGUAAAUAAAAACCACUUUAAGAGA
ensembl:lncRNA